AGUGAACGCUGGAGGCGUGCCUAAUACAUGCAAGUCGAACGAAGUGGCUCACGGGUGUGUAAUAUAUAGUUAAUCUGCCCUACACAGUGGAACAACAGUUGGAAACGACUGCUGAUACACCCUAGUGUAGGAUGAGACUAUAUCGUAUCAGCUAGUUGGUAAGGUAAUGGCUUACCAAGGCUAUGACGCGUAACUGGUCUGAGAGGAUGAUCAGUCACAUUGGAACUGAGACACCGUCCAAACUCCUACGGGAGGCAGCAGUAAGGAAUAAUGCGUAAAGGGGGAAACCCUGACGCAGCAGCGCCGCGUGGCGGAUGACACGUGUCGGAGCGUAAACUCCUCCUAUCAGGAAAGCGUUAUCCUCAGAAUAAGCACCGGCUUAGUUCGUGACAGUCGUCGCGGUAAUAC
rnacentral:rRNA from 1 species